UGGGGAAUAUUGGACAAUGGGCGCAAGCCUGAUCCAGCCAUGCCGCGUGAGUGAUGAAGGCCCUAGGGUUGUAAAGCUCUUUCACCGGUGAAGAUAAUGACGGUAACCGGAGAAGAAGCCCCGGCUAACUUCGUGCCAGCAGCCGCGGUAAUACGAAGGGGGCUAGCGUUGUUCGGAUUUACUGGGCGUAAAGCGCACGUAGGCGGACUUUUAAGUCAGGGGUGAAAUCCCGGGGCUCAACCCCGGAACUGCCUUUGAUACUGGAAGUCUUGAGUAUGGUAGAGGUGAGUGGAAUUCCGAGUGUAGAGGUGAAAUUCGUAGAUAUUCGGAGGAACACCAGUGGCGAAGGCGGCUCACUGGACCAUUACUGACGCUGAGAUGCGAAAGCGUGGGGGAGCAAACAGGAUUAGAUACCUGGUAGUCCACGCCGUAAACGAUGAAUGUUAGCCGUUGGGGGAGUUUAACUCUUCGGUGGCGCAGCUAACGCAUUAAACAUUCCGCCUGGGGAGUACGGUCGCAAGAUUAAAACUUAAAGGAAUUGACGGGGAUCAUAG
rnacentral:rRNA from 1 species